GAAGUGAACUAGACGAUCGCUGUUGUGGAGAUCUCCGUGAUUGAAACAAGAGAGGAAAGUCCGGGCUUUAUAGGGCAAAAGUGCUAGGUAACGCCUAGGCAGUGUGAACUGACGGAAAGUGCAACAGAAAGUAAACCGCCGUGUAAACGGUAAGGGUGAAACGGCGAGGUAAGAGCUCACCGCAUGACUGGCAACAGGACAUGGCAUGGUAAACCCCACUUAAAGCAAGACCAAAUAGAAAUCCAAUGGUGCGGCCCGUACUGGAUUUGGGUAGGUUGCUGGAGCGUAUGAGUGAUUGUACGCCUAGAUGAAUGAUCGUCCUUGACAGAACCCGGCUUAUCGGUUCACUUUUAUU
rnacentral:RNase_P_RNA from 1 species